rnacentral:lncRNA from 1 species
UCGACUACUCAAUAUUCUGUUACCAAUCAGCAUAGUCCGUGAGCUCGCUUCCGAAGACGCAAGCCAAAUCCUGUUUUUUUUCUCUAGUGCAAUCAUUGCUUGCCUUCGCUGUCGGCCAUUUUUUCUGCUCGUUAUUUUCGCGCCUGCCCAUUUCUGUCUCUGACGUUCUGCGACUGCGUAUGGUUCCGACGCCGUAUCAAUGUAAUUCGCUAUUGUUAAAGUUAGUUCUCGGCGACUAAGUUGAAGCUCCAGUGUUAUUCAACGUUCUAUGAUGGGCAUGACGAUAAGCUCUGGUUUAAUUUAGCUGCAAGGGAAAGUCCUGUUCCCGUUUUCCUGUUAGGCCGUUUCUGCAACAGCCCUUCUUGUUUCCAUCCGUUCUGCCAUGUCCUCCUGGUUGGUAACGGUAGACUUGUGCUGCGUUGCCCCUUUCUCGGUGGCAACGCUACUUACGCUGGUAGUAGUACCAUGCUCUUCAUUCAAGUGGUUUUUAUUUAGUCUUUUCUCUUCAGUGUUAGUUCUUCUUUUCUUGGGCUUUCGGAUUUCGGGCCGCUUCUGCGACUUCUCCCUUUUCUUCAACGCUACUUCAUUGGACCGAAGUGAAACAUAACGAAGUCGGCGCUACUUGGACCGAGGAAUGGUGCGGAUCAUAUCAACAGCGAUAACGACCAUAUGUGCUGCUCCGCUUUUUGGGGCCUUGACCGCGGCGUCUAUCGCGACAGCUUGUGCUAUUGUGAAACCUAACAAACGAAGGCAAUGGCUCGACGUGGACAAUUUUUUCUCGGCGUUCCCAUCAGACGUCAUUCUUGUUUCGCAGGGAUUGAGGCGACCGGCUGAAGUCGUCAGACAGACACACACAUCGAGUCACAUUUAGCAAACGUUGUCGUAUCCGGAGCAGAUCGGGGAGGUUUUGACAAACGGAACUCAUACGAUGAUCGUACUGUCGUAGUUAGGAAAGUACUUUUGCUGAUUGCUUUUUUUUUUUUUCGCUAAAUUACGUACCUAAUAUUAAAUCUAAUCAUAUGUGAAAUGUUUUAAUUGAAUCUAUGAAACUGCAAAAAGAAAUUGUUAUUAUAAGUCACAAACAAAAAACCGUUUCGACAAUAAGGGCACGCUUUGCUGUUACCAGAAUGUGUUUUUUUUUCGUGAUCCGAAACCAGUGGCUUUAAAUCUAUGGGGCGUUAGUUCAAACGUUAUCCCACGACACAAAAUCAACCUGUUAGAUAUUGUGAGCGAAUUUUCUUCAAGCUCUUUAAUACUUCUUGACGGAUCUCUAGACAACAAUUUGUUUACCUGCAGUUGUAUGCUUAAAAGGAUAAAUGUUAGCAAGAAUAAUGGCAACACUUGCGGUUAGACCAACUGAAGGAGAAAGGCCACAUAGGAUACAAGAUAGCAAGAUAUGAAGGCCGGGAUAAAAUUCACGACGAAAAUCAACGCGCACAUCCUCCAUAAGUUUCUUUUACUUUGCAAGUAGUUAACAGUUACGGUUGAUUUGCUUGAGUAAGCGUUUUUAUUCCGCAGAUCCGAUGUAUCGAAGCGGAAACGAUGAUCGCUCCGUCACUUGCCGAACUUGCAUGCCAGUAUAGUUAAGUACAAUUUGAAUAAUCGCGCCGUUGUUGAACUGCACGUAGGCGGCGGUCGGAAAGACAACAAAUGCAUCCAGCGAAAGAGCGGUCGAUAUGACCAGGCCGAUUCUAUUAAAGCCCUUUCUAUCUAUGCACGUCCACUGUUCGUCGUGUCCUGACUAACAUUCAUGUGACGUCCACGCCUGGCCAAUUUGCCGAAGCAGAAAUAACCAGACUCCUAUCCACUAUAUGGCGCUAUGUUAUGAUCUCGCACCAGUCUGACCAUCCAGCAAUCGUUACUCAUUAGAAUGCAGUUCAACGACCUGGCAAUUCGUGUGGGGACUAGAAAUCGCGAAUGGAGCGGCAUUAACGUAUCAAUCACGUACACGAACGCCCCAUAAAUGAGGGCUUAUCAUAUGUAUAAUUUUACGAAAAUAGACAAAGAGCAUUCACAGUGUGCACUCAUUACUAACAGCACAAACAAAGCAUCGCAAACAUUUAUAGUCAACCUUA